GUUCCCUUUGGUGAGCGAAGAGUUUACAUGGGGAGGACAGACCCCAAGGAGAGGCCAUGGCUGCAGCUGCUCUUGUCUGGCUGCCGACUGUAGUGAGGAUGAACUUAGAGGGUCUGGGUCUCUACCUUCAGCCACCAUAACAUGUGCAUAUCACCAGGCAGCACCCCACGGAAGAGAAGUAUUUAGCAGGGACUCCCUACACUUGGCAAAAGGACAGCCAGGAGCCUAAGGGAAAGUACACUGCCAACUGAGGAGGCAUUGCCUGGGUCAGAGGCCCUGCCAGGGAUUCUUAAGGGUACCAACACCAGUCCACUGUUUCCUGGACCGGUAGGACUGUCUUGCUCCUUAGCUCUGCUCUCUUCCACAGAACCCUGUGAUUGUUAGUGCCCUGUGUCAACUUAAUUGGUUCACGGAGCACCCGGAUAUUUGGUUAAACAUUAUUUCUAGGUAUAUCUGCAGGGGGAUUUGGGAAAGAGAUUUGCAUUUGAACAGAUGGACCAAAUAAAGCAAAUUAACUUUCCCACUGUGAGUGAGCACCAUCUAGUGUUGAGGUCUUGGGUAGAACAAGAAGCAAGGGAAGAGAGAGUUUACUGUCUGAUUGCUGAACUAAGGCGUCUGUCUUCUGUGCUAGGACUGGCAGUUACACCACUGCCCCUCCUGAUUCUCAGGCCUUUGUACUCAGACUAAAUGACACCACUGGCUUGCCUGGGUCUCCGUCCUUCAGAUGGCAGAUUGUGGGACGGCUUGGCCUCUGGAAUUGCAUGAACCAAUUCCUGAUCAUAAAUUUAGGUGUAUUUUGUCCCAGCAAUGAGGAAGUGACAACAAAGGACAUUCUUCCGUAUGCUACAACAUGGAUGAACCUUGAGGAUAUUAUCCUAAAGGAAACAAGUCAUUCACAAAAAGACAUAACUAUGACUCCACAUAUAUAAGGAAGCUCAUCUGGUCCCAGCACCAAGAAGGAAGCUCCCCGCCUCCAUCCCAGGCUCCUAGGAGAGGGAAGCUGAGCCGAUCCCAGCACCCAGAAGGAAGCCCCACCACCACCAUUCCAAGCUCUGGGCAGAGAAGCUAAGCCAGUCCCAGCACCCAAAAGGAAGCUCCCCUGCUGCCAUCCCAAGCUCCUAGGGCAGAGAAAGUGAGCCGUGUGGGCACUAGAAGCACCCCCCACUCCGUGGAAAUGAGAAGACACAUAAACAAGCCUCAAAAACAGACUUCUGGAUCACCUACAGCAACACCAAAGGGAAACAAGAUGGAACACUGUGAUACUCAACUACCUGGAUUUUCUGAACUGGCAACAAAAGAGGAUCUGGGAAAAAUGAAAUCGGAAAUAAUUACUCAGAUAACAGCUAAGAUUUUGCUCAUGGUACAAGACAUGAUUAAUAAAUCUAGAGAGGACACAGAUAAAAAAAUAGAGGAUCUGAGGAAUAUGAUGGAAUCCCAACAUAGUAAACAAAUGGAAUCCAUAAAACAGAU
rnacentral:lncRNA from 1 species